UGAUGGGCCCAUCAACACUAAGUCUGUCGUCCUCUUGUAAGGGUGGCACAAGCGCAAUAAAGUGGUCAGCUUUUUCUUCAUAAUCAUCCCGAACCUCAGCCGCGAUAACCGUCAAGAAAAAAUUCG
rnacentral:lncRNA from 1 species